rnacentral:rRNA from 1 species
GGAUGCGAUCAUACCAGCACUAAAGCACCGGAUCCCAUCAGAACUCCGAAGUUAAGCAUGCUUGGGCGAGAGUAGUACUAGGAUGGGUGACCUCCUGGGAAGUCCUCGUGUUGCAUUCCC